rnacentral:rRNA from 1 species
UGGGGAAUUUUGGACAAUGGGGGAAACCCUGAUCCAGCCAUCCCGCGUGUGCGAUGAAGGCCUUCGGGUUGUAAAGCACUUUUGGCAGGAAAGAAACGUCGCGGGUUAAUACCCCGCGAAACUGACGGUACCUGCAGAAUAAGCACCGGCUAACUACGUGCCAGCAGCCGCGGUAAUACGUAGGGUGCAAGCGUUAAUCGGAAUUACUGGGCGUAAAGCGUGCGCAGGCGGUUCGGAAAGAAAGAUGUGAAAUCCCAGAGCUUAACUUUGGAACUGCAUUUUUAACUACCGGGCUAGAGUGUGUCAGAGGGAGGUGGAAUUCCGCGUGUAGCAGUGAAAUGCGUAGAUAUGCGGAGGAACACCGAUGGCGAAGGCAGCCUCCUGGGAUAACACUGACGCUCAUGCACGAAAGCGUGGGGAGCAAACAGGAUUAGAUACCCUGGUAGUCCACGCCCUAAACGAUGUCAACUAGCUGUUGGGGGCCUUCGGGCCUUGGUAGCGCAGCUAACGCGUGAAGUUGACCGCCUGGGGAGUACGGUCGCAAGAUUAAAACUUAAAUGAAUUG